UCUGGGGUGCUUUUCAAUAAAGUAAAGUAAACUGAUUUCAGCUUUAUCCUCAUUAACAUGGGUGCUCCUGGGUAAGUCCCAGGCUUGGGGAGAUUGAGCUGUGGAGCCCAGAAGGACAAGGGAAGAAAUGUGUCUAUAAAUGCAGCCUGCUGUUUAUUUUUAUGAGUGAAAUAAUGUGUGUGAAUGUGCUUUGAAAUGUGUGUAUCUCCAUAGAUCUAAGGUAUUGUUUUGAAACAAUCUAUAGGAAAUCCAAACUGAAGAGAAAGUUUCAUCACGGAAGAUAUGGAGAACAGAAGGGUUUUGACUGGGUUGGAGGAGCCUGGAACUUGAGGUGGAAAGGUAGAAAAAGACAGAUAUUGGAAAAAAAAAAACAAAUAGUCUUAGAAUAAAGUGAUCAGUCUUAUAGUAUUGGGAAUAUCUGAUAUUUAUGGAGAAAAACAAUGAGGUCCCAAGUUCUCCUGGAGGUUUCUGAAUGAUACUCAGUGUCUUAGGGUUUCAUUGCGGUGAAGACACCAUGACCAUGGCAACUCUUAUAAAAGAAAACAUUUAAUUGGGUCCAGCUAACAGGUUCAGAGGUUUAGUCCGUUAUCAUGGCGGCAAGCAUGAUAGCAUACAGGCAGACAUGCUCGAUUGGGGACGAGCUGAGGGUUCUAUCCCUGGAUCUGCAGGCACUAGGAAGAUAGAAUGAGCCACUAGGCCGGGCUUGAGCUUCUGGAAUCUCAAAGCACGCCCCAAGUGACACAUUUCCUCCAACAAGGUCAAACCUACUCUCACAAGGCCAUGCCUCUGACAAUGCGGCUCCCUGGAAACCUAUGGCCUCCAUUUUCAUUCAGACCACCAUACUUGGUCCAUCUUGUCUUAUCCCCAGCAUCAGUGCUCACCUUUCCUGGGAACUAGCAUCCUUUUUACUUCCUGUGUAUGACAUAGCAGCUGCAGAUUAAUUGACUCUCCCCAUCCCUGCUUUGGACACCUAGGCAUUGAUGAGGUGACUAUUUGUUCUCAUGCAUACUCCCGUCACGGCGAAUCUACCAUAUUAGAGACCUAAAGCUUCCAGCACCUUCUAUUUCUCCAUUCUCCCUCAGAGUCGUCAGUUUAUCCCUCAUAUUAUCUGAAACCAGAAGACAUCCACUUAGGUCAGUGUGGCAGUUUCUAAGGAGGUCACAUGAAGACAUUUCAGCAAGACUGAUGCUCAAGGUGCUGUCAUUAGUGCCAUAAGCCAUUUCCAAGUUGAGUCUACGGUUAUAAUUUUCAGUGUCUUAAACUGUGCCAUGCAAAGGUGUGGGUAACCAACCAACACGAGUUUUAUUUAUUAAUCCAGUAAUUAUUUACUGCAUUCCAUGUCCUGCUCCAGCUGCUGUAACAGAACAAAUAAUAAAAAUGAUGAGUUGGAAAAUCACUUCAGAGAGCUGGUGUCAUGGAGGAAAGGGACUGCUAAACUGGGUCAGUGGGUAAAAUAUGUUGCAUAUUACAAAGCUAACAUGAUUAGAGAGCAUAUCAAACAAGAAUAUAAAGCAAGGAUCAUAUAGGGUUCCAGUUGUAGGUAAAAGCAGGGCUCCUUUCUGGAUGACAUCGAGUAAAGCCCUCAUCUGACAUAACCUUAGAGGUAUGUGUUUCUUCUCCAUAGACAUUUGUGUCUUCUGAAGGUGCAUGACUGAAAACAAAAAAAUAGAAAGAACUUUGUGGAUAAAUUUAGCCUUUAUUAACGGUAUUAAUAUUAAACAUAAAUUUCAAGAAUCACUUGGUGGAAAACAAGUGGAAUUUUCAGGCUUAAGUUGAAAACAUUGAAUUCUGUGAAAUAUCAGGUCUCCAGCAGGUAAAACCAACCCUAGAGUUAGUCACAAUGGGUUCUUUCCAGCACAUACAACAAAUGCCAAGAUAAAAGAAACAAUUUAACCUUUUAAACUUAUUUCUCUCCUAUAAAAUCGACUCUGCCCUUACUUAAAAAUGAUCUGACAUUAAUUUAUAGAAGCACUUUCUUGUUCUAGUUAUUUUCUAAAGGUUAUUGUGCGACAUUUUCUUGUUCGCCCAUCUAUUAUUUGACCUCACACUGAUUUCAACACAAAUUACACUUUUCUUUUUAGAUUAAAAAAAAUCUUUUGAUUGUGCUUUGAGUUCCUUUGGCUUAUUUCCAGUUCGGGGGCAUAUUUCGGACAUUACAUGAGCAGUAGACAUUUCUGCACGAUAGAGUGUUUGUGCCUUUUGUUCUGAGGGGGAAAGAAGAAUGAUGAAUACAGGAAGGAGAAGGAAGAGAGAGAGAACAAGAUGAUAAAAACCACCUGGGAGUGUGGCUUAUGCUUGCAACCACAGUACUCAAGAAGCUGAGGCAGGAGACUUACAAUGAACUCAAGCAUAGCCUUAGCUGCACGGAGAGGGCCUGUUUCAAAAAGCAAAAGCAAAACAAU
rnacentral:lncRNA from 1 species